AUUGAACGCUGGCGGCAGGCCUAACACAUGCAAGUCGAGCGGAUGAAGGGAGCUUGCUCCUGGAUUCAGCGGCGGACGGGUGAGUAAGGCCUAGAAAUCUGCCUGGUAGCGGGGGAUAACUUCCGGAAACGGGCGCUAAUACCGCAUACGUCCUGAGGGAGAAAGUGGGGGAUCUUCGGACCUCACGCUAUCAGAUGAGCCGAGGUCGGAUUAGCUAGUUGGUGGGGUAAAGGCCUACCAAGGCGACGAUCCGUAACUGGUCUGAGAGGAUGAUCAGUCACACUGGAACUGAGACACGGUCCAGACUCCUACGGGAGGCAGCAGUGGGGAAUAUUGGACAAUGGGCGAAAGCCUGAUCCAGCCAUGCCGCGUGUGUGAAGAAGGUCUUCGGAUUGUAAAGCACUUUAAGUUGGGAGGAAGGGCAGUAAGUUAAUACCUUGCUGUUUUGACGUUACCAACAGAAUAAGCACCGGCUAACUUCGUG
rnacentral:rRNA from 1 species